ensembl:lncRNA
AUGCAGGGAGGACCGGGGGAGCCGCAGCCCCACUCUGAGCAAUUCUGCAAGAGAGCUUCAGCAAAAUUCCAAAACAAUCGCAUUGAGAGUCGGCACAACCCAGGUCUCCCGACUUUGGUUCCAAGCGAAGUUUCUUUUGUCGUUUGCUCGCCUCCAGGGAUGCAGUCUCUACACUCUCUGUGGGACGGAGGGGGAACUUCAGUGGAGGGAACAUUAAAUAUUAGGAAACCCGAAGAAAAAGCAAAAGCAACUGCUGUCUCAGGCUGCCCUUCCGAGGUUUGUAGUCCGGGAACGAUGAAGGGAGACUGCCACCUAUGGGCCAGGUUCCAGGGACGCCCGCACGUGGGGUUCUGUGGGACAGACGCAGUCUUAAGGUAGAAGGGAAGGCGUCUUCGUGGGACGGUGAGUCAUCGCACACUCUGCUUGCAGGCAGAAGCACUCUUAACUCAUUCAGGACAGAUGAGAUGAGCAUUUUCCCAAUUUAAAGGGCACACUUUUUUUUUUUUUUUUUAAACAGGAGUGUGAUCUUGUUAGCCAAAUUCUAUAAUGCAAACAAAAUAAUGGAACUGACGCCCCAGGACCCACCAUCAAAAAUAAACAGAUGUUCAGUUCACAUUGUUUGGCUGCUAGGUUCCACAGUGGGAUCCACUCCGGCACUACACCUGAAGUUGUAUGGCUGCUUAAUAAAAAGAACCAGCAUAAUGAAUCAGAAACAAACAUCCUCAUGCCAUGCCGUCCCAGUAGAAAAGCAACAGGAUAAAUAACAAUUAGGCAACUAUCAAACCCAUUCCAGCAGAUGCCUGUGAGUGGGACCACGGGAAAUGAAAGUGGAAUCAGGCACAAAGGGGAAUAUAAAAGGAAGCACAGUUGUAAAACUAGAGAGGGACCUCACACGCAGUCAUGGUAAUGGGAUAGGAACUGAAGAGUAUAAUUCAAUCAGCUCUGCUCCCAACGUGAAAAAGAAAAGUCAUAUGCUCUGAGCUUGGCGAGUGGGAGACGGCUAUUGUGUUAUAAUGGUUCCAAUGGUAUCAUACAGUUGUCCUUUGAUAUUUGAGAUCUAUGUGUUCAUGAAUAGCAUUCCCAUUGUCUUUCAUUAUAAAAUCAUAUCUGCCACAGAAUACCUAUACAAUACUGGAUUUAGAGUAACCAAGCAGUCCCGACUCCUAUUGCAGAGAAGGGAGUGGUGUAGGUAUUUGUGUGUGCAUUUUUUUGUCUGAGUUUGUGCAUAUGUGUGUUUGUACAUGUGCAUGUAUAUGAAAGCAUGUGUGUGUAUAUGCGUGUUUAAACACGGAGCUCAGGAAGGAUUAUGGUUCUGUCACUCCAAACCAAAGGGGAUUUAAAGACCCUUUGCCCAGCAUUGUAGCACCUAGAGAAAAGCUAACCCUGUCCAGGGAGGCAGCUCCCCUGAACAGGCACAUGUACUGAAUAGGCACAGGUCCAGACCCAUCAGAAAGGUAGAGUGGGGCUGUAGAGUCUUCAACAGAAAUCAGCAGGUAAAAUUUGGGAUGCUAGAACAGUACUGUACUUUCAGCAACUGGCAAAGGAAACACAGGAAAGAAUCCAACAGAAGCAGGAUGGGGAUUUUCUGGGCAAACUUGUAGGCUGGGUGAGGAAGAAUAACCCAGUGUUGUAUUGUGCGAAUAAUCCACAUUUUGUUUGCCCAUUUUGCUCCUGAAGGACCUGUAGGAGACAGGAGCUAGGCCAGAACUGUUCUCUUAGCCCCACUGACUGAGGGUUAGUAGCAUCAGUUCCUAAGUGAAGAAGAACUGAUACCAGAACCCAUCAAAUAACCUUUAGGGUUCUUUGUACAUAAAAACAUAAAUAGUGCCAAAUUCUCGUAAGUAGCUCAGUUGCUCUUUUAAAAAACACUCUUUUUCUCUUUUGUGAAGUGUAAGUUCAAGGGUCUUUCUAGAUGUUGUAACAUUCAGACACCUGGCUUAGGAGGCCUCUCUCUCCCCUCUUCAUAGAUCUGAGUGAUAACCAGGAAGAUGUGGGUAUCUUUAACAUAUUAGUAAAUUAUAUAUACUAUCAUUUCAUACACUUUACAUUUUAUGUAAAUUAUAUUGUAUAAAUAUUUAUGUUGCAUCUUUCUAGUUUAUCAUUACACGUUUUAGAUGUAUCCACGUAGGUGAUAAGGAUCUAGUUCACUCAUUUUAAUGGCUGUGCAGCAUUGCAUUGCAUGAAUAAUCCACAUUUGAUUUGCCCAUUUUGCUCCUGAAGGUCAGGUAGCUUGUUUCCACUUUUAAGCUAUUACCCAGAGUGCUGAAAGAAUGUGCUUUUGUUCAUAUCUCCUUGGACCCAUGUGUCUCUUGGGAACUUCUAGACAUAUAGUGGCAGAAUUUUUGGUCAUAGGUUAUGCAUUAACUUUACUGGGUGUUGCCAAAUCACUCUCUACACUGGGUCUGUCAUUUUACACACCCACAAGCAGUGAAUGUAAGUAUCCAUUUCUCCAUUCUCAUCAACUCUUUGUAUUGUCAGAGAUUUUUCAAGAAAUUCCCAGUCUAAUAGGCAUGAAAUAGUAUCUAUUUGUUUUAAUUUGCAUCUCCUUGACUACUAAUAAAGGCGAGCACAUUUUCAUGCAUCUAUAGACCAUGAAAUGGCCUCUUUUGCCAGUUGCUUAUUGACAUCCUUAAGCUUUUUUGAUGUUCGGUUGCUUCUCUUUUUCUUGCUUAUUUGUAGGAACUAGCUAUAUAUUUUGGAUAGUAAUCCUUGGUUGGAAAUGUGGGAUGUAACUAUUUUCUCCAAGUCUGUGUUUGUCUUCUUGCUUUGCUAUUAGUGCCAUUUGUUGUUAAGAAGUUUUAAAACAAUUAUAUACUUCAACUUCUCACUUCUCCAUGAUAAUUUUUUGCUUUGUAUUGUUUAAGAAACCCUGUCCUCCUUGGAUAUCAUAGAAAUAUUUUCCUAUAGUUCUGUCUAAAUGUUUACUUCUUUUCCUUAGCACAUCUGAAAUUUAUUGUUGUUCACGCAGUGAGGUAUGAAUCUAAUUUUUCCCUUAGAAAAUACUAUUAGCCAAUAGUCCUAGUGCCAUUUAUUGAAUAGUCAUCCUUUCCCUGCUAAUUUGCAGUGUCACCUCUUAUAUCUUAAGUUCCCACUUAUGUGUGUUUCCAACUUUUUCAGAAAAUUUGCCCCAUUGAUCUAUUUAGCCAAAUGCUGAUACCAGAAUAUUUUAUUUUAUUUUAUUUUAUUUUCCAGGUGUAAUUUUAUUCCACCUUCUCCAACUUCAGAGCUCCAACCUUAGAGGCAGAGCAUUAUGUGGAAGGAGGGUAAGGACUUGAUAUGAAAAAAGUGAUAAUGACAUACCCCUGGUUCAUUUCUGGAUUUCUUCCUAGGCCAAUUCAAAACCUCCAGAAUAACGUCAAGUAACACAAUAGGCUCACACUUGCAUCACAAGCUGUUUAGAAAAUGUGCCUAGAUCUCUGACUCAGACCAGAUGUCCUUCCCACCAUGGGCAAGGGCUGGUGGGGAAGACACUCCCAGCCUCCUUCCAAUGCUAAUAAAUAACCUGCAGAAUGAGCAGCGCUGGAGAGCUGGCCCUUGGCCCACCCAUGCUACUGUUGUGGAGCCAGGCCUGCCUUAUAGCCCUCUGUCUUCAUGUCACUGAGCUCUAGCUCCUCAUUU